GGAAGAUAGUGCUCAUGGGAGCAAGCAGACUUGAAAUCUGUCGCCAUCGGAAACGGUGAGGGUUCGAUUCCUUUAUCUUCCGCCA
rnacentral:tRNA from 1 species